UACGGAGGGGGCAAGCGUUGUUCGGAAUUAUUGGGCGUAAAGCGUAUGUAGGCGGCCAAGUAAGUCAGACGUGCAAGCCCGUGGCUCAACCACGGAAUUGCGUUUGAAACUACUCGGCUUGAGUGCAGGAGAGGAAAGCGGAAUUCCCAGUGUAGCGGUGAAAUGCAUUGAUAUUGGGAAGAACAUCUGUGGCGAAGGCGGCUUUCUGGUCUGCUACUGACGCUGAGAUACGAAAGCCAGGGGAGCGAACGGG
rnacentral:rRNA from 1 species